rnacentral:rRNA from 1 species
AUACCAGCACCCCGAGUGGUCGGGACGAUUAUUGGGCCUAAAGCAUCCGUAGCCGGCCUUACAAGUCCUCCGUUAAAUCCAGCUGCUUAACAGAUGGGCUGCGGAGGAUACUAUAAGACUAGGAGGCAGGAGAGGCAAGCGGUACUCAGUGGGUAGGGGUAAAAUCCGUUGAUCCAUUGAAGACCACCAGUGGCGAAGGCGAUGUUCCGGAAUCCGCUCGGCGGUGAGGUAUGAAAGUUGGGGGAGCAAUCCGGAUUAGAAUCCCGGGUAGUCCCAGCCGUAAACGAUGCAGUCUCGGUGAUGGGUUGGCUUCGCGCUAACCCAGUGCCGCAGGGAAGCCGUUAAGUCUGCCGCCUGGGGAGUACGGUCGCAAGACUUAAACUUAAAUGAAUUGGCGGGG